CCUACGGGAGGCAGCAGUGAGGAAUAUUGGUCAAUGGACGAGAGUCUGAACCAGCCAAGUAGCGUGAAGGAUGACUGCCCUAUGGGUUGUAAACUUCUUUUAUAUGGGAAUAAAACGUUCCACGUGUGGGAUUUUGUAUGUACCCUAUGACUAAGGAUCGGCUAACUCCGUUCCAGCAGCCGCGGUAAUACGGAGGAUCCGAGCGUUAUCCGGAUUUAUUGGGUUUAAAGGGAGCGUAGGUGGAUUGUUAAGUCAGUUGUGAAAGUUUUCGGGUCAACCGUAAAAUUGCAGUUGAAACUGGCAGUCUUGAGUACAGUAGAGGUGGGCGGAAUGCGUGGUGUAGCGGUGAAAUGCUUAGAUAUCACGAAGAACUCCGAGUGCGAAGGCAGUUCACUGGACUGCAACUGACACUGAGGCUCGAAAGUGUGGGUAUCAAACAGGAUUAGAUACCCCAGUAGUC
rnacentral:rRNA from 1 species